rnacentral:rRNA from 2 species
UGCAGUCGACGAACUCUGGUAUUGAUUGGUGCUUGCAUCAUGAUUUACAUUUGAGUGAGUGGCGAACUGGUGAGUAACACGUGGGAAACCUGCCCAGAAGCGGGGGAUAACACCUGGAAACAGAUGCUAAUACCGCAUAACAACUUGGACCGCAUGGUCCGAGUUUGAAAGAUGGCUUCGGCUAUCACUUUUGGAUGGUCCCGCGGCGUAUUAGCUAGAUGGUGGGGUAACGGCUCACCAUGGCAAUGAUACGUAGCCGACCUGAGAGGGUAAUCGGCCACAUUGGGACUGAGACACGGCCCAAACUCCUACGGGAGGCAGCAGUAGGGAAUCUUCCACAAUGGACGAAAGUCUGAUGGAGCAACGCCGCGUGAGUGAAGAAGGGUUUCGGCUCGUAAAACUCUGUUGUUAAAGAAGAACAUAUCUGAGAGUAACUGUUCAGGUAUUGACGGUAUUUAACCAGAAAGCCACGGCUAACUACGUGCCAGCAGNNG